GGCAACGCUCGCCCAGGGCCGGAAAGUUGUCCAAACUUGGUCAUUUAGAGGAAGUAAAAGUCGUAACAAGGUUUCCGUAGGUGAACCUGCGGAAGGAUCAUUACAGAGUGCGAGGCUCAGUCGUGGCGUCUGCUGCGUGCUGGGCCGACCCUCCCACCCGUGUCGAUUUAUAUCUUGUUGCUUUGGCGGGCCGGGCCGCGUCGUCGCUGCCCACAUGGACAUGCGUCGGCCGCCCACCGGUGGUUUAUCCACUGGAGCGCGCCCGCCAAAGACCCAACCAAAACUCAUGUUGUUUGUGUCGUCUCAGCUUUAUUAUGAAAAUUGAUAAAACUUUCAACAACGGAUCUCUUGGCUCUGGCAUCGAUGAAGAACGCAGCGAAAUGCGAUAAGUAAUGUGAAUUGCAGAAUUUAGUGAAUCAUCGAAUCUUUGAACGCACAUUGCGCCCCUUGGUAUUCCGAGGGGCAUGCCUGUUCGAGCGUCAUAACACCCCCUCCAGCUACCUUUGUGUGGCUGCGGUGUUGGGGCGCGUCGCGAUGCGGCGGCCCUUAAAGACAGUGGCGGUCCCGGCGUGGGCUCUACGCGUAGUAACUUGCUUCUCGCGACAGAGUGACGACGGUGGCUUGCCAGAACAACCUCCCUAUUGCUCCAGUCACAUGGAUCACAGGUUGACCUCGAAUCAGGUAGGAAUACCCGCUGAACUUAAGCAUAUCAAUAAGCGGAGGAAAAGAAACCAACCGGGAUUACCUCAUACGGGG
rnacentral:rRNA from 1 species